rnacentral:lncRNA from 1 species
CUAAUUUAUUUAAUUAUAUGCAUGCUUAGAUUGAUCCAGAAUUCACAUUUAUAUAUGGUGUUUCUCUCAAGCCUUUUUUACCUUUUCUUUUACUAUUUGUGAUCCGAGAUUCCGAAGAUGAUUCCAUGUAAGUGUCAGUUGUUAAGUGAAGUAUUUUUCCGUUAUCCCUGUUUUAAUUAAGGGUUUUUAGUUUUUAUCUAUAUAAUAUGCAGAAGACAGACUGCUACAUGUAAAAGCGGAGGUUAUGCCAAUGAUUCAAAGGUUUGUUUUUAAUUCUCAGUUUAAGUAUUGAGCUUCUACUUUUCUCGUUACUGAAUAGUUUGAGUUUUUUCUCUUUUCCAUGUCUGUUUAUAGAGUGGUGUCAAGAAUUUGGAGAAGGGAAAAAAGUAAUCCUAUGUUUGUAUUCUUAAAGCUUGGUGCAUGUUGCAGUGAGUUCCAGAGUUGAAAGAAAAGUUUUGGUUGAUAUUGGCAAUGGGAACUGCAUAUUUUCAAAAACUGAACAGGGAAAAAGCUCUAUAUCUGGGUAAGUAAUUAAGAUUUUUCAGCAUCCCGACAUGAUUCUUUACAUGUUGGAUAUUUCUCUCGUUAUGGUUUGAAGGUGUAUUUAAUGAAAACCUGUUAUAUAUAAAUGGCUAUUGUCAGUAAUUCGAACAAUUUUCAAGUGCUCUGUGAAAUGCAUUGAUGUAAUUAGUUUUGUACUUUUACGCAUUGAUGUAAUUAGUUUUGUACUUUUACCUUCUAUCUCAGACAGAGAAGAAAUCUUAGAAUUUGAUCAUCUAGUUUCCCAGUCUAAUGCAUCCCAUUAUUGCAGGAAAGGAAAAAGUGAUAAGGUGUUAUAUUACAUCAAGAGGAACCCCUAUCUUGUUUUUCAGUUUAACAAAGAGGAAGAUGAUAAAAUGACAACUGCAAAUGUUGCUGCUGUUCGAUCUGAUAUUAGAGCGGGUUAUA